rnacentral:rRNA from 1 species
AUUGAACGCUGGCGGCAUGCCUUACACAUGCAAGUCGAACGGCAGCGGACCUUCGGGUGCCGGCGAGUGGCGAACGGGUGAGUAAUAUAUCGGAACGUACCUUUCAGUGGGGGAUAACGUAGCGAAAGUUACGCUAAUACCGCAUAUUCUGUGAGCAGGAAAGCAGGGGAUCGCAAGACCUUGCGCUGAUUGAGCGGCCGAUAUCAGAUUAGCUAGUUGGUGAGGUAAAGGCUCACCAAGGCGACGAUCUGUAGCGGGUCUGAGAGGAUGAUCCGCCACACUGGAACUGAGACACGGUCCAGACUCCUACGGGAGGCAGCAGUGGGGAAUUUUGGACAAUGGGCGCAAGCCUGAUCCAGCCAUGCCGCGUGAGUGAAGAAGGCCUCGGUUGUAAAGCUUUUCGGUCCGGGUAGAAAGUACGCACAGGUUAAUAACCCUGUGUGGAGUGACGGUACCGGAAGUAAGAAG